AGUGAACGCUGGCGGUAGGCCUAACACAUGCAAGUCGAACGGCAGCACAGGAGAGCUUGCUCUCUGGGUGGCGAGUGGCGGACGGGUGAGGAAUACAUCGGAAUCUACUUUUUCGUGGGGGAUAACGUAAGGAAACUUACGCUAAUACCGCAUACGACCUACGGGUGAAAGCAGGGGAUCUUCGGACCUUGCGCGAUUGAAUGAGCCGAUGUCGGAUUAGCUAGUUGGCGGGGUAAAGGCCCACCAAGGCGACGAUCCGUAGCUGGUCUGAGAGGAUGAUCAGCCACACUGGAACUGAGACACGGUCCAGACUCCUACGGGAGGCAGCAGUGGGGAAUAUUGGACGAUGGGCGCAAGCCUGAUCCAGCCAUACCGCGUGGGUGAAGAAGGCCUUCGGGUUGUAAAGCCCUUUUGUUGGGAAAGAAAUCCAGCUGGUUAAUACCCGGUUGGGAUGACGGUACCCAAAGAAUAAGCACCGGCUAACUUCGUGCCAGCCGCCGCAGUAA
rnacentral:rRNA from 1 species